rnacentral:rRNA from 1 species
CCUACGGGUGGCAGCAGUGAGGAAUAUUGGUCAAUGGACGAGAGUCUGAACCAGCCAAGUAGCGUGAAGGAUGACUGCCCUAUGGGUUGUAAACUUCUUUUAUAUGGGAAUAAAAUGUUCCACGUGUGGGAUUUUGUAUGUACCAUAUGAAUAAGGAUCGGCUAACUCCGUGCCAGCAGCCGCGGUAAUACGGAGGAGCCGAGCGUUAUCCGGAUUUAUUGGGUUUAAAGGGAGCGUAGGUGGAUUGUUAAGUCAGUUGUGAAAGUUUGCGGCUCAACCGUAAAAUUGCAGUUGAAACUGGCAGUCUUGAGUACAGUAGAGGUGGGCGGAAUUCGUGGUGUAGCGGUGAAAUGCUUAGAUAUCACGAAGAACUCCGAUUGCGAAGGCAGUUCACUGGACUGCAACUGACACUGAGGCUCGAAAGUGUGGGUAUCAAACAGGAUUAGAUACCCGUGUAGUC